rnacentral:pre_miRNA from 1 species
AAUGGCUGUCCGUAGUAUGGUCUCUAUAUUUAUGGUGAUUAAUAUCGGACAACCAUUGU